AUUAUCUUUUCAUUCAUUUCCAUAGUUUUCAUGAUAUAAGUCAUUUGAGUGCAUACCUUUCCUUCCCUUUUCAUGCCCAUUGAACUACUUAGAAUAAUAUCGGAUACAAGGGAAAUCUCACACAAAGUGUGCUAAACAUAUGGUCGAAACCAUUCCUUUUCAUCAUUGCUCACUCGAGCCCUAAAUGGGUCUGCUCACACAAGUUGACGGUCGGAAUGUAGCUAUAUAAUGCCGUUCACACAAGUUG
rnacentral:lncRNA from 1 species